rnacentral:misc_RNA from 1 species
GCAUUUUAUCUUACGGCUUAAUCCUCUUUUUCUUUUCCGAUCAGUUCCUCGGCCAACGCCGGAUUUAGGGCUGAGCCGCUCCUCUUUUUUCCGAUAGCUUGUUGAAACUACUGCCGGCGAGGAGAUGAAUUGCGCUACCAUAAACGCCUGCAAUUUCAAUGCUUCCUUUCCAUCACUCACUGUUACCAAAAGGAUUUCAAAACUGACAACAUUAUCUUCAACUAUAAAACUCCCGAGAAAUGCAAAAGUAAAAGUAUCCAGACAGCAGCAGCAGUCCACAACUGUAUGCUUAUUUGGUGGUGGAAAGGGGAAGUCAAGCAAUGACAAUGAGGCUUCUCCAUGGAAAGCUCUUGAGAAAGCCAUGGGAAAUCUGAAGAAGGAAAAGUCAGUUGAGGAUUUAUUGAAGCAACAGAUCGAAAAACAAGAAUACUACGACGGAGGAGAUGGUGGUGGAGAUCGUCCAGGUGGUGGCGGUGGAGGUGGUGAUGACGCUUCUGGUGGAGCAGAGGAUGAAGGCAUUCCAGGGAUCUUGGAUGAGCUAGGACAAGUAAUCUUGGCAACUAUGGGCUUCAUAUUUUUGUAUAUCUACAUAAUUGAAAGCGAGGAGAUCACAGUGUUCACAAAGGAUAUUCUCAAGUUUAUAUUUCUGAGGCAAAAGAGUAUUCGUCUUGGGCGCACAAUAGCACGAUUGGAAAGCUACUUCAAAAGCCUGAGUGAGAAAGAAGCAGAUCCAUAUUGGUUGGAAAGUGAGAUUCUUAAUACUACUACUUGGUACGACGGACCCAAAAAGUAUAGACGCAUUCUCAGACGGUUGCAAUCCGAUUCUGAUUAUUGAUAGGAAACCUAUUCUCUGUGCUGUCAAAUUUUGUACUUGUUUAAACAGUUUCUUGUUGCCUGCUUGAGGAAGAGUAUGAAUGAAGAACAGGAAAAAAAACAUCCAUUCAUGUAGAAUUUCGUGUCAUUUGUAUUUUUAUUUUAGAUUCAUG